UGAGGAAUAUUGGUCAAUGGGCGAGAGCCUGAACCAGCCAAGUAGCGUGCGGGAUGAAGGCCCUAUGGGUUGUAAACCGCUUUUAUGCGGGGAUAAAGUGGGCCACGCGUGGCCUUUUGCAGGUACCGCAUGAAUAAGGACCGGCUAAUUCCGUGCCAGCAGCCGCGGUAAUACGGAAGGUCCGGGCGUUAUCCGGAUUCAUUGGGUUUAAAGGGAGCGCAGGCCGCCCCUUAAGCGUGUUGUGAAAUGCCGCGGCUCAACCGUGGCACUGCAGCGCGAACUGGGGGGCUUGAGUGCGCGCAGCGCAGGCGGAACUCGUGGUGUAGCGGUGAAAUGCUUAGAUAUCACGAAGAACUCCGAUCGCGAAGGCAGCCUGCGGGAGCGCAACUGACGCUGAGGCUCGAAAGUGCGGGUAUCGAACAGGAUUAGAUACCCUGGUAGU
rnacentral:rRNA from 1 species